rnacentral:rRNA from 1 species
UACGUAGGGUGCAAGCGUUGUCCGGAAUUACUGGGCGUAAAGGGCGCGUAGGCGGCUCGUUUAGUCGGGUGUGAAAUCCCGGGGCUCAACCCCGGAACUGCAUUCGAUACUGGCGGGCUAGAGACCGGAAGAGGUGGGUGGAAUACCCAGUGUAGAGGUGAAAUUCGUAGAUAUUGGGUGGAACACCGGUGGCGAAGGCGGCUCACUGGUCCGGUUCUGACGCUGAGGCGCGAAAGCGUGGGGAGCAAACAGG